CGAGUGCUGCUCCGGCCGAGGAGGAGGCGGGUUCCCGACUGGCCGGCCUAGCGCGGGAGUUCGGUCUCACCGCGCUCGAC
rnacentral:tRNA from 1 species